GCCUUAUGCCUAUUAAACCCCCUUUUUACCAUAAGCAACCUGGAAGACCUAAAGGCAAAAGAACAAAAACACCAUAUGAGAUAAAGAAGGGGGCAACAAAGCUAUGGAAAUAUGAUGUUGUAAUGCAUUGCCAAACCUGUGGAGAGGAAGGACACAACAAAACAAGUUGUCCACAAAGGCUACUACAAUCACAACAAGGUUUUGGCUCACAAAAGAGAGUCAUGGGUGAACAUUCAAUAUAAGCAUAUCUAAAGGGUCUAGCUUAAAUGCAAAAGAACCUAAAGCAACAAAAGGAAAUAACACAAUAAGAGGUCUUAAUUCAAAAGCAAAAGGAUUGAGCACAAUUGCAAAGGAAACUGGUGCACAUCACCACUCGGGGGCUGCUCCAUCCCAAACUAGGCCACAAGGAACUAUAACAAGAAUCUGUCUUUUUUAAUUAAAAAAAAAAGCAUUUGUUAUAGAUUAAUUUUUGUUGUUUUGGGUUUGCUAACAUUUUUGUUGAUUUCGUGUUGAAUUGAAAUAGAUGAAUCGAGGCGGUCGUGUGAAUCAAGUCACAAGGAAGGCUAAUAAAAUGGAAUCACAACCCCAA